UACGUAGGGGGCAAGCGUUGUCCGGAAUUAUUGGGCGUAAAGCGCGCGCAGGCGGUUCCUUAAGUCUGAUGUGAAAGCCCACGGCUUAACCGUGGAGGGUCAUUGGAAACUGGGGAACUUGAGUACAGAAGAGGAGAGUGGAAUUCCACGUGUAGCGGUGAAAUGCGUAGAUAUGUGGAGGAACACCAGUGGCGAAGGCGACUCUCUGGUCUGUAACUGACGCUGAGGCGCGAAAGCGUGGGGAGCGAACAGG
rnacentral:rRNA from 1 species